ACUGAAACUUGAUCACAGGAAGGAGCAGUAUCAGUAUCUAAACAUUCGUCCAGACCUCCGGCUCCGGAUUGGUCAAGCAGGCUCUCAUAGGGUUCUUCCUAUAGUCUGUCAUUUUCUUUAGUGCUGAUACGAGGGCGCGCGACUCACUGCUGAGCUGACGCCUGAACGCGCCGACGGAAUCAUUAACGAAUCAUGAACCACUGAGGACUCUUUUUCGGAGGGUUGCCUUUUUAUCUUUUGUUCAUGGGGUGUCCUGCUUGUUUUAUUUUUCUUAUUCAGUCAUUCCAGGAGUUAUCAACUCUGAUGGGAAUACAGUGGAAUACUAAAUGUUAUAGAAAGAAGGAAAAGCAACACAUGGAACGAGGACUGGACCAUCAAGUUUUAACAUCAUGACAUGGGAUCAUAACGGAUUUUAAA